UACGAGGGGUGCAAGCGUUAUUCGGAAUUAUUGGGCGUAAAGGGUGCGUAGACGGCAUGCUAAGUCAACUGUUAAAUUCCUCGGCCUAACUGGGGACCAGCAGUAGAUACUGGCGUGCUAGAGGAUGGAAGAGAGAAGUGGAAUUCUCGGAGUAGCGGUAAAAUGCGUAGAUCUCGAGAGGAACACCGAUGGCGAAGGCAGCUUCUUGGUCCAUUUCUGACGUUGAGGCACGAAAGCGUGGGGAGCAAACAGG
rnacentral:rRNA from 1 species